CUCUCGGGUGACGAGUGGCGGACGGGUGAGUAAUGUCUGGGAAACUGCCUGAUGGAGGGGGAUAACUACUGGAAACGGUAGCUAAUACCGCAUAACGUCGCAAGACCAAAGAGGGGGACCUUCGGGCCUCUUGCCAUCAGAUGUGCCCAGAUGGGAUUAGCUGGUAGGCGGGGUAAUGGCCCACCUAGGCGACGAUCCCUAGCUGGUCUGAGAGGAUGACCAGCCACACUGGAACUGAGACACGGUCCAGACUCCUACGGGAGGCAGCAGUGGGGAAUAUUGCACAAUGGGCGCAAGCCUGAUGCAGCCAUGCCGCGUGUGUGAAGAAGGCCUUCGGGUUGUAAAGCACUUUCAGCGGGGAGGAAGGCGGUACGGUUAAUAACCGUGCUGAUUGACGUUACCCGCAGAAGAAGCACCGGCUAACUCCGUGCCAGCAGCCGCGGUAAUACGGAGGGUGCAAGCGUUAAUCGGAAUUACUGGGCGUAAAGCGCACGCAGGCGGUCUGUCAAGUCGGAUGUGAAAUCCCCGGGCUCAACCUGGGAACUGCAUUCGAAACUGGCAGGCUGGAGUCUCGUAGAGGGAGGUAGAAUUCCAGGUGUAGCGGUGAAAUGCGUAGAGAUCUGGAGGAAUACCGGUGGCGAAGGCGGCCUCCUGGACGAAGACUGACGCUCAGGUGCGA
rnacentral:rRNA from 1 species